rnacentral:misc_RNA from 1 species
UGGUUCUGGCAUCGAUGAAGAACGCAGCGAAAUGCGAUAAGUAGUGUGAAUUGCAGAAUUCAGUGAAUCAUCGAAUCUUUGAACGCACAUUGCGCCCCUCGGUAUUCCGUGGGGCAUGCCUGUUCGAGCGUCAUUACAACCCUCAAGCCUAGCUUGGUGUUGGGUGCUUGUCCCGCCCCCCGCGCGGCGACUCACCUCAAAGUCAGUGGCAGCCCGCAUCCGCCGGCCGUGAGCGCAGCAAAGUCGCGCCCUAGGCCCCGGCAGGUCGGCUCUCCAAAAGCCCUUUUUACCACGUUUGACCUCGGAUCAGGUAGGGAUACCCGCUGA